UACGUAGGGUGCGAGCGUUUGUCCGGAAUUACUGGGCGUAAAGAGCUCGUAGGUGGUUUGUCGCGUUGUCCGUGAAAACUCACAACUCAAUUGUGGGCGUGCGGGCGAUACGGGCAGACUGGAGUACUGCAGGGGAGACUGGAAUUCCUGGUGUAGCGGUGAAAUGCGCAGAUAUCAGGAGGAACACCAGCGGCGAAGGCGGCGCUCUGGGCCGGUACUGACACUGAGGAGCGAAAGCGUGGGUAGCAAACAGG
rnacentral:rRNA from 1 species